ensembl:lncRNA
CAGAAAGGAGCAGGUUUCUGCUGGUGCGCUCGAAUCCCCAACUUCCUGCAGGAAGCAGCGCGAGAGCGCGUAACGCUGAGCGCGAGCUGUGCACUGGAGAAAACGAAGAGAAGAGCGACUUGAAGUGCGCACCGGCGGGAUUAACAUCGGAAAAUGUGAAAAGCGAGAAGUGUGUGUGUGUGUGUGUGUGUUGCGAUCGCGGGAUGCACGAUAUGUCCCACAACAUUACCACUUGGUUCCCGUGUGCAGCCCUAAACUGCUCUUCUGUGCAGACCCUACAUUAGAAGCGCUUGGCUUGUUGAAUACGGCGUUUCUUCCAUACUGACUCUCAGUUUCGUUCUCUGUUCGGCCUCUUGGUCAGAGUGACAUGAGUGUGAGAAACCCGCACCGUUCCGGACUCUUGUGCUGGGGUCUGUCUGUGCUCCUCAUCCAGUCCAUCAGCUCGCAUCCCGCAGCUGCACCACCAAGAAUGAAACAUGGAAAAAUGUCAAAUCAGAGAGAGAAGAGAGCCGCAGGAGAACCCUACUGGGCAUAUUCGGGGUCGUGGGGAGCCUGGAGCCUCUUAUCCCAGGGAACUUGGGGCACAAGGCACCCUAGACAGGGUGCCAACCCAUCACAGAGCACAUUCACACACCCAUUCACAGACUAUGGACAAUCUGAAAAUGUCAAUCAGCCUACAAUACCUGCUUUGGACUGGGGGAGGAAACUGGAGUACCCGGAGGAAACCCCCAAAUCAUGGGGUAAAUAUGCAAGCUCUGUGCACACAGGGAAGAAAUGGGAUUCAAACCCCCAUCCCCGGAGGUGCGAGGCAAAUGUGCUACCCACUAAGCAACCAUGCCCCACAGCUCAAAAUAAAUGUAUUUUAUAUGCUUUCAGCACCAUGAUUAUUCCAAAAGACUAAAUUAAACUGAAUGUAGGGUGGGCAUGCUGUGUAAUCUUAGAUAAUGUAAUGCAUGGAACAUGUUUAGCACUUUGAUUUCAUUUCUAUUGAUUAACACAUAGAAAUACAGGUUACCUCAUGCCGCACAUUUCUCUUUAACAGAUGGCCCAUCAGGUUUGUCAGACUUGGUUGAUCAUAGUUGCCAGGCUGACUGUUUCCAGGCAAUCUUGGUUUAAAGUCUAAAAAAUGUACUAUGAAAUAUGCCCGACUUUGCCAAGUUAUAUCUCAUAGCUAGAGGCCAAUGUGCGAACAGAAUCCGCUUAGCACAGAUUUUAUAGAAGCUGUUCAAUAGCCCUUUUGUUUUAACCUUUCAAAUCCUAUGACAUUUGAGGCAUCUUAAUUGGAAAGUUUUUCUUUUUGUAUCUGUGUUUGUGUAUAUGUUCUGAGAGAAAGCAGAGGGUGGUUAUACCUUUCGUGCUCACACGAUAAUUUCUGUGCCAGAGGAUUUCUGUAGGCUCCACAGUCUUAAUGCUUUGUGCUCCAAACAUUUUCUUUGGACUCAGUACAGAAAAGCAACAUAAACCAGGGAGGAAAUGAUCAAAUGCCAAACCCGAUAAGCUAUAAAUAAGCACAAACAUAGCAACUGUCAAAUCAAAAGUGUGUCAGCUCGGUAAAUUUAUUAGUGGUGCUACAUCUUUUGUAUUUCAUAUUUAGAAAAUAUGUAAGCGUUGUUGAUGGCCACUUUUAGAUGUGUUUGAAAAUGAUAGAGAGUGAAAAAGGUAGUUCACAGGCCACUCUUGGCAAUCAGAGACUGAUGCCAUCAUGUGUGGUGGGUUGGUAAACGCUGUCAGGUGUAGUUGUGGCUGAAUUCUGGUUUUGCUCAAACUGGAGCUUAUACUGUGAAAUAUCUUUAAGGGACCAUAAAUAUAUUUUGACCUUAAGAUUUUAGUAAAACAAAAACAAAAAACGCAAAAAAAACAACCACAAUUUUGUCAACAGAAUAGACUGAAUUAAUCAGUGAUUAUUUUCCUACAGAUAUUAGGACUAGUAUUAGGUAGAUAUUAGGAAGAUAUUAAUACAAUAUAAAGAUUCAUGUUGAAAUGCUGUGAGUGCCUUUUAGCUCAGAUGAUGAGAAAGACUAAUAUGGAAGAUUGUGAUAAUCAAUGAUAAUGCACCACCCAUUGUGAACGUAUAAUGUUUUACAAUUUGGCAGCAAUGUUGUUUUUCCAAAAGUAGAUUAGGUUACAGGGCGCACAGUGGCUUAGUGGUUAGCACGUUCCCUCACACCUCCAGGGUCGGGGGUAUGAUUCCCACCGUGGCCCUGUGUGUGCGGAGUUUGCAUGUUCUCCCCGUGCUGCGGGGGUUUCCUCCCCUGGUCCAAAGAUUGGUAGGCUGAUUGGCAUGUCUAAAGUGUCCGUAGUGUAUGAAUGGGUAUGAGUGUGUAUAUGAUUGUGCCCUGUGAUGGACUGGCACCCUGUCCAGGGUGUACUCCACCUUGUGCCCAAUGCUCCUUGGGAUAGGCUGCAGUUCCCCCCCGACCCUGAAAAGGAUAAGCGGUAUAGAAGAUGGAUGGAUGGAGAUUAGGUUACAUAUAUAGGAGUUGCAGUUUUCCUUAUUUUCAAUUUAAAAUGUUACAAUAUUCUGCACACAUACAGAACUGUGCACCAGUACUGUGCACUGUGCAUCUUGGCCACCCUGGUUUUUAAUAUUAAUUUUGCUUUAAAUGCUUAUUUUAUGACUUCCAUAUUACAGCUUCAGAAAAAAGUAGAUUUACAAAUAUAACGUUUCCAACAAAAAUUAAAUGCUAUAGAAUUUUUUUUUGUAUGGCAAUAAAGAUGGUAACAUAUAGUAUUAUGUAUUAGACCACUUUUCAGGCAAAAAAAUCUGUCUGUCAAGGAUUACCUGAAAAAACAAAACUGUGGCAGAUCCUCCAGGAUGCUUAAAAACUUACCAUCCAAUGUCCUUAUAAAACUGUGACGUGUACCUUCACUAUUUUUACUAAAAAAUUUUAAAGGCAAACGAUUGUCACACCAAAUACUGACUUUAUUUAUAGAUUAGUUAAAUACAGUUUAGUUUAGUGCUGUUUAUUGUUCUUUAUAGAAUUUUUUAUGUAGAAAAUGUUGUUGUUUUUCAACCCAUCUUUUCUUUACAGCAUUUCUUUACAUGCGCCUCAGACUUUUGCACAAUACUGUACGUACAUGCAAUACGUCCCAUUAUAUGCAACUCUCCAAUGUACACUGUGUGCAGACGGUGUGAUCACUGGUGUGCUUGCUCAGAUAUCUGUGGGUGGCUUUAUGAAAUCACUGCACUGGCUGUAAUGUAUGUGUCUUCCGCUAUUUAGGCCAUGGGUAUGAUUGAUAACAUCUCCAUGAGGGAGUGCCAUUUUUCAAAUUCCUUUUAUUUCUCAGGUCUCUCCCCCACUGUUUUCCACCCCCACACACAAUGCCUUACACAUGAUUGCCUACCCCAUGUUCCCUAACCUCCCGUUCCAAUUUUAUCACUUUUCUCUUCAUUCAUUUGGGGCCUCUAAUUUGUGCUUUGCUUUUAACUGCAAAUUAAAAUGGCCUCAUCUCUGUUGGAGACCUAUUCAGUCUCUAAUCUAAACUAUGCCUCUGUCAGCUAUAUUUUCUGAACAGUUGUUUAUUGUUUUUUAAGUGAUAAUCACACAUGUGAGAAUGAUCACUCUAGGUGGAACAGUAAGUCAAUUACAUCUAAAUGAUAUAAAGGAGGUAAUUUAAAUGUAAUUAAGCAGAGAAAAAUGCUACAAACUGCCAUAAGUGGGCCUGAAUACUGUUAUUGAAUCUAGCCGCACACUGGCAAUUAAGUUACCCAGUGGGUUGAGAUUUGAUUUUUAUUUCUUUAGUGUCUGUUUAUGCAGGUAUUUCUCAGAUAGAGACAGAUAAUAUUGCACACUGAAGGGUGCAAUUUAUAUUUUUCUCCUUAUUCCAUCACUUUCUUAUUUUCAUCUUUCUCUGCCUAGCUUUCUUUGUACUUCAGCAAACAUUCACUUUAAGCUUGAAAGAAAGUAUUGAUGUUUGGUAACUCUCUGUUGUUGUAAUAUGACAUUAUUACAGAAGCCUCGAUCUACUGUUAUUUACAAGGCUAUGCAGCAACCAUUUCUCAAGGUGAUUGCUGUGAAAAGCACUGCUGUAUCACAAUGCCACAGAUGGAAUAUGCCAUACAAUAUAUUCUGCUUUUUGACAUGCUGUAUUCAUUGAAAUGAGGAAUUGGAGACUGAGAUGGCCAUUGCAAAUACUGGCUUUUGUGGACAAUACUUUGUUGAAAGAUCCAUCUAUGGUCAAUUUCUAGGUCCUGCCUACAGAACAAGGUUUGGGAGAAAGGUACUAAGUACUAGGAUACCAUCAAUCUUCACACUAGCUACAAAACAGCCCCAAAGCAUCAAUGAUCCAGCUUUCUUUAUGCAGUCCACAAACAUCUUGAUGGUGCAGUUAUAAUAAUGCAUAAUGUUCAAGCAUUUCUUUUCAUGUGAUAAUUUCAGGAAAGGGUUUUUUUGAGUGAAACGUUUCCAAAU